rnacentral:rRNA from 1 species
UCCGGAUUUACUGGGCGUAAAGGGAGCGUAGGCGGACUUUUAAGUGAGAUGUGAAAUACUCGGGCUCAACUUGAGUGCUGCAUUUCAAACUGGAAGUCUAGAGUGCAGGAGAGGAGAAUGGAAUUCCUAGUGUAGCGGUGAAAUGCGUAGAGAUUAGGAAGAACACCAGUGGCGAAGGCGAUUCUCUGGACUGUAACUGACGCUGAGGCUCGAAAGCGUGGGGAGCAAACAGGAUUAGAUACCCUGGUAGUC